AACUAACGCUGGCGGCGUGCCUAACACAUGCAAGUCGUACGAGAAAGUUGGCUUCGGCCGAUGAGUAAAGUGGCGCACGGGUGAGUAAUGCGUGGAUAAUCUGCCCUUUAGUUGGGAAUAACGUACCGAAAGGUGCGCUAAUACCUGAUAAUACUGCAUAACUACUGUUGUGUAGUCAAAGAAGGCCUCUGUUUACAAGCUUUUGCUGAAGGAUGAGUCCGCGUACCAUUAGCUGGUUGGUGGGGUAAUGGCCUACCAAGGCUACGAUGGUUAGCUGGUCUGAGAGGAUGAUCAGCCACACUGGAACUGAGACACGGUCCAGACUCCUACGGGAGGCAGCAGUGAGGAAUAUUGCGCAAUGGGGCAACCCUGACGCAGCAACGCCGCGUGAGUGAGGAAGGUUUUCGGACCGUAAAGCUCUGUCGAGCGGGAAGAAAUGUAUCAUGGCUAAUAUCCAUGAUACUUGACGGUACCGCUAAAGG
rnacentral:rRNA from 1 species